AUUGAACGCUGGCGGCAGGCCUAACACAUGCAAGUCGAGCGGAUGAAGGGAGCUUGCUCCUGGAUUCAGCGGCGGACGGGUGAGUAAUGCCUAGGAAUCUGCCUGGCAGUGGGGGAUAACGUCCGGAAACGGGCGCUAAUACCGCAUACGUCCUGAGGGAGAAAGUGGGGGAUCUUCGGACAUCACGCUAUCUGAUGAGCCUAGGUCGGAUUAGCUAGCUGGUGGGGUAAAGGCCUACCAAGGCGACGAUCCGUAACUGGACUGAGAGGAUGAUCAGGCACACUUGAACUUGAGCACGGGCCAGGCUCCUAAGGGAGGCAGCAGUGGGGAAUAUUGGACAAUGGGCGGAAGCCUGGACCAGCCAAGGCGCGUGUGUGGAGAAAGUCUUCGGAUUGUAAAACACUUUAAGUUGGGGGAAAGGGCAGUAAGAUAAUACCUUGCUGUUUUGACGUGACCAACAGAAUAAGCACCGGCUAAAUUCGUG
rnacentral:rRNA from 1 species